rnacentral:lncRNA from 1 species
UCUUUGGGCAUGAGUUCCAGGGUGGGGUUCAAGGGUUUUGGCUCUAGAUUUUUAUGAGAAGAAAAGUCAAGAGGGUCUUGUUCCAUACUUUCUACACCACCACCUCCUCCUAUUGUUCUAUCUUCUAAUCCGAAAGAGUCCGGAUGAUCCAAAGGAAGGAGUACAAAUCAGCCAUCUAGUACCUUUCGUGCGAGCUAGCACUCCCGGAGAAGGA